rnacentral:rRNA from 1 species
UAUGUGAUCGUCUCUCGCAUAUCAAUAAGCGGAGGAAAAGAAACUAACAAGGAUUCCCUUAGUAACGGCGAGUGAAGCGGGAAGAGCUCAAAUUUGAAAUCUUCAAGGUUUUACCUUGACGAAUUGUAGUUUAAAGAAGUGUUUUCUGUUGAAGUUUUGGUAAAAGUUCUUUGGAAUAGGACAUCAUAGAGGGUGAGAAUCCCGUAUUUGACCAUUAUUUUCAGGCUGUGUGAUACACUUUCAAAGAGUCGGAUUGUUUGGGAAUGCAGUCCAAAAUGGGUGGUAAAUUUCAUCUAAAGCUAAAUAUUGGCGAGAGACCGAUAGCGAACAAGUACCGUGAGGGAAAGAUGAAAAGAACUUUGAAAAGAGAGUUAAACAGUACGUGAAAUUGUCAAAAGGGAAGCGUUUGACACCAGUGUUGUUUUCUCGAAAAUCAAUUAAAAAGAGUUUAGAUUUUGUUGUGUAUUGACCUUAACAGCUUGCAUUUCAAUUUUCUUGCUUUUUUUAAUGCACUUUUCGUUUAACAAGUCAACAUCAGUUUCUUUUGUUGUAAAAAGGUCAUUGGAAGGUGGCUUUCUUUUCGGAGAAAGUGUUUAUAGCCUUUGACUCCUGCAAUCGGAGAGACUGAGGUCUGCAGCGUAGAUCCUUCGGGGUUAGAUACAUUUGUGCUAAGUUAUAGCUUUUUAUAGACAACUUGUUGACUAUGAUUAGUCUUGUAGCUUACUCGCUUAUGCUAUUUUACCUACGCUUAGGAUGUUGAAGAUGUAGCACAUCAU